UACGUAGGGUCCGAGCGUUGUCCGGAAUUAUUGGGCGUAAAGAGCUCGUAGGCGGUGUGUCGCGUCGGCCGUGAAAACCUGCAGCUUAACUGUGGGCUUGCGGUCGAUACGGGCAUCACUGGAGUUCGGCAGGGGAGACUGGAAUUCCUGGUGUAGCGGUGAAAUGCGCAGAUAUCAGGAGGAACACCGGUGGCGAAGGCGGUUCUCUGGGCAUGAUCUGACGCUGAGGAGCGAAAGUGUGGGGAGCGAACAGG
rnacentral:rRNA from 1 species